ACACCCUUGAACAGGAACCUUUAGUGGAGGGCAGGAUAGGGGUUUAACAAGGAUCCACUGCCCUCUGGCAUCAACCUUCCAGGGAGGGGCGGCCACUUCCCCCGACUCAGGGCAGAGGGGCACUCCUUCACCUCCUUUCCCUGACUUUCCAUGGCCCUGGGGGUGCAGGGGUGAGGCUGUGAAAACGUGACCCAUGGGGGAGGGGAGUACUGAGGCCUGGACCCUCCCAGAUUCCUCCAGGAGUUCGAAACUGCUAAAACCCAGUGCCACCAGCCACCAACACUAGCUGAAACCAUCUCUUGGGGACCAUCCACCCAGCCAGGGGAGGAUCCCGAGAGCUCCCCCCACGAAUCCACCCCCAUGCACUCAUAGAGGCCCCCGCACCCACCUCGGAGGCAACCCCUCACCUCGGCAACCCCUCUGCUGUCUUCUCCCUUUCUCAGCGGGCACUUCCAGGCCCCAUAGGUCUGUAGCUCUGUCCAGCGAGUUCAAGGCUGGCCCUGCUAGCACCUCCCCCCUUCCACCACCACCACCAAAAAGAAAAAUAAGAUAAAGCACACACAUACAUACACACACACACACACACACACACACACACUCCUCUCCCGUCCUCCCUCUUCAGUGUAAGCAGUGGCUGCCCCAGCCCGCUGUUUCCGGCUUCUCCUUCUACCCAGGUCCCUCCCUGGAGCUCUGACGACACAGAGAAGAGAAAGUGGGCUGGAGGAGGAAGAGGAAGAAAGUGGGGUGAAUAUGUGUGCCUCCUGUGCCGAGUGGGGGAACACGUGGGGGAUCAGGACUGGGGUCCAGGCCUUGGAGCCAGGCUUGGGGGGAGGCUGACCCCCACUUACUCUGUCCCCCUCAAAAGCAUCAGCUUUUCUCCAGAAAGUCACCCAAUAUCAAACAGAGAUUUGCCACCCCUAACUGCCUGGCUCCCAAACUCAAACUCUGCCAAGGGCUGGGGUUUGGACCCACAAGGGACUGGGCUCCCCAGGGCCUCAGGAAAAGUAAAUCCCUCUGGACUCUGCGCUCCCUCCAGUGGAGGACCCUAAAAAGCCGCCAGGGAGCUCGAUGCCAGCCAACUCCUAGGUCCCCCUCCCUUCCGGCAGGGAACGCCUUAGAGGGCACCCCUCCUGAGACUGUGGUGGGAACCAGCACAAGCCGGAGCUGCUGCCUGCAGAUUCACAAGGGGCAAGUUUGAAUACGAAUCUGCUGUGUUCCUAUCUGCCAAGUUCCUAUAUGUUUCUGGGGUAAACACUGAGACACGCCAAGAAACAAACACACACAUGCACAACUUCCCUGACCACAAGACUACACACACACACACACACACACACACACACACGUGCAGGCAGGCUCACAAACAGAGCCCAUUGCAAUCACAACACCACACACACACACACACACACACACACACACACACACACACAGUCUUGCUCAACUUCUGAGUCAUCAACAUAACUAGUGGAGGGUUCUGCAGUUUUUGCUGGGGGAGGAGCUGGAGGAGACCAAGGGAUCCAGAGAGGCCUUUACUCCCGGACACCUGAGAGCCCCGGUGUGUGGAAGAGGUGGUGUCUGAGGGGCGGUGGGAGGAAGUUUCUACUCCCCUCCUCCCUCCCAUAGCAGGGGCUGGGCUGAGGGGCCAAAGCUAGGCCUAUGCUGCCCCCUGGUGCCUGAAUUGAUUUCCAGAACCAGCUCCUCCUCCUCCAUCCCUUGCUACCCCGCAGGUCUGUACAUGAGUGCACGUGUGUGGACCCAGCCAGGCAGCAGAGGGUUUGAACACAGCAAAAUAUAGCAGUUAAAAGACUGGACUGUGGAUACAGGCUGCUUGGGUUCAAAUCCUGCUAAUGCUGCUAACCACACAACCCUGAGCAAUUUACUCUGUGAUUCAUUCUCGUCAUCUGUAAAAUGGAGCAAAUAAGUCUUAACCCAUAAUGUGAGAAUAAAAUGCAGUAAAACAUCUGAAGGCUUAGAACAAUGCCUGACACACAGUAACUGUCAGGCACUAUUUUUAUGGUUCAUAAUAAACCAGGUAUGAGGAAAGGA